GGAAUGUCGUAAGGUGGGUUAAUUAGUUAAGGCAGGAACUGGCUGUUUCACUUCUUUGUGGUUUUUCGGCUGCUCCAGACUUCUUGGCUCCUGCAGGCCACCUGGACGGAUAUGUGCAGGUCACAGGGGUUACAAUGGCUAAGCUUCAGCUCACAGGCCUGACAUUUUUGUCUUUUUAUUUAUAAAAUAUGAAGUUGUAGGAAAAGAUUAAAAAAAAGUAGUGAGAACUUGUGACGGUGAAUAACUCUUCUCUUUCCUGGUACCUGGACUUCAGAGAUUAAUACAAAACCCUGUGGGUCAGGACUUGGCAACACCAAGAAGCAUUCAAAUAUAAUGAUUUAUUCAACUGUGUAUUGUCAUGGAAAUAAUAAUUAAAUGGCACAUCUUUGUUGUCUGAAAGGGAUAGAUACUUGUGCUUCUCUUGUUGAGCUAUAUAAAAUACAAGCGCCUUACAAUUUGUCUUCCCUGCCUAUCUAUAUGGACACUGAGUUUGAGGGAUUUUGUUGGUUUCUUCAAACGCUGAGUAUUUUCUUUUAAAAGACUCCAGCCUUUGAGGAUGUGGCUUUCAACUUCACCCUACAGGAGUGGGCUUUGCUGGGUCCUUCCCAGACGAAACUCUACAGAGAUGUGAUGCGGGAAACCAUCAGGAUGCUGGCCUCUGUAGUUAAGGGAAAGAAAUGGGGAGAUAAGAACAUUGAAGAUCUGUACCAAAAUCCUGGGAGAAAUUUAAGAAAUCAUAUGGUAGAGAGACCCUGUGAAAAUAAAGAAGGUAGUCAAUGUGGAGAAGCCUUCAGCCAGAUUCCAGGUCAUAAUCUGAAUAAGAAAACGCCUCCUGGAGUAAAGCCACCUGAAAGCCAUGUGUGUGGAGAGGUCGGCGUGGGCUAUCCAUCCACUGAAAGGCACAUCAGAGAUCGCCUUGGACGCAAACCCUGUGAAUAUCAGGAAUGUAGACAGAAGGCAUAUACAUGUAAGCCAUGUGGGAAUGCCUUUCGUUUUCACCACUCCUUUCACAUACACGAAAGGCCUCACAGUGGAGAAAACCUCUAUGAAUGUUAGGAAUUUCAGAAAACAUUCACUUCCCCCCCAAACCUUCAAAGAUGUGAAAAUGCAUAGUGGAGAUGGACCUUACAAAUGCAAGGUGGGUAGGAAAACCUUUGACUCUCCCAGUUCAUUUCGAAUACAUGGAAGAUCUCAUUCU
ensembl:lncRNA novel transcript